GGCCUCGUAGCUCGGCUGGUGGACUGUGCGCUGUCCAAAGUGUAGGUGGCAUUCAUGCGUGGGUUCGAAUCCCACCGAGGCUA
rnacentral:tRNA from 1 species